rnacentral:rRNA from 1 species
GAUGAACGCUGGCGGCGUGCCUAAUACAUGCAAGUCGAACGGGGAGGAGCAAUCCUUCUAGUGGCGAACGGGUGAGUAACGCGUUGGUGACCUGCCCCGGAGUGUGGGAUACCAGGCCGAAAGGCUUGCUAAUACCGCAUGCGCAAAGAGACGAUUAGAAAGCUUUUUUGCAAAGGAGUAAUCCGCUCUGGGAGGGGCCUGCGACCCAUCAGCUAGUUGGUAAGGUAACGGCCUACCAAGGCGAUGACGGGUAGGGGACCUGAGAGGGUGGCCCCCCA